UCUCUCUCUCUCUCUCUCUCUCUCUCUCUCUCUCUCUCUCCCCCCUUGCUGACUUGUGCCCUCUCUCUCUCAAAUAAAAAAUUUAAAAAAGGGAGACUUUCUAAUCUGAACCAAAGACAUAUCAGAACUCAGGCAAGUAUAAGGUGUACGUUGCACACGGGAAGCUAGCACCUGCUUGAACACUCCACCAGAAGGUUUCCCAUCUUGGGGAAAGCAUUUCAGAGUUCACGAAGCUCUGUUAAAUGCAAGGGAUGGAAAUCACAUUCAGGUUACGAGCCAGAGACUGGUAAGAAGAGUCGUGUCUUAAACUUCACGAGGCCAGAAAACUACAAUUAGGCUCACUUUCAAAGUGCCCCUUGUCACCAAGGUUCCUUUACACGGAGCAUACAUCGUGCUUCCAUGUACACAAUAAUCAAAACCCAAACGGACACGCAGUAACAAGGGUUACGAGAAGGUGGAGAAAUUCGAGCCCUUCUACAUUGCUGGUGGGAUUAUCAAAUGGUGCCGCCACUUAAGAAAACAAUUUGUUGGUCCCUCAACGUGUUAGACAUAGAGUUACCUUGUGACCCAGCAAUUCCCCUCCUGCCGAAGACAAAUGAAGACGCAUCCACGCAGAGACUCACACGUUAAUGUUCACAGUAGCAUCAUUCGUAGUAGCCCAGAAGGGAGAAGAACCCAACUGUCCAUCACCUGCUAAACAAACAGGUAUGUCUAUACAGUGGAAUACUACCAGGCCAUGAAAAGGAAUGGAGUCCUGAUACAUCUGUGGAUGAACCCCUAGCACAUUAUGCUGAGUGGAAGCAGCCAGACCUAAAGGCCACAUAUUGUAGGACUCUGUUUAUAUGAGAUAUCCAGAAGAGGCGCAUCUGUAAACAUGGAGGACCAGGGGCCGGGGGAGGGGAGAGGGGAGCGAUUGCUAACGAGGACAGCAUUGCUUUUAUGCUUCUCUUGGGUGGGCCUUCCUUUUAGCAAACGGUAGGCAAAAUGGCUAUACUUUCCCUUAGCUCCCGGGUCACAAUGGCCUCAUUCUUCCACAAUUUUCUUGAAGGGUUUUAGAAUGUCAGGUAAGUGUAUGUGUAGGUUUGUAAACGGUAAGUAAGCGAGCCAGGGGCUUUGAUGGGAUGAGAUCCAGACUAUCGCAGCAGCAUCCUUCAGAGUCCCCUUGGUCUCAUCACAUUGUGGGGUGGGCGUGGCCCGUUAGGAGAGAGGAUGCCAGCUGCCUGAUGGCGAAGGGGUAUCAAGUCUGUGGCAGGUGCCUCCAGAACAAUGGCUAAAAGCGGCCCUCUGGAGCCAAAGACAAACGUCAAUUUCUCCACUUUUCCCAUUAGGUCAUGGAGCUUGAUAACACUGACCUGAGAAAAAGAAUGUUGUCAUGUUCCUCACGACCACACGGCAUAAGUUACAGAGACUCUAGGGUUUCAGUUAGGAAGUUCUGAUUCUACAGGCCAUCAGCGCUGGGUACAGUUUAAUUCUUUUUUUUUUUAUUUUUUUAAUAUUUAUUUUUGAGAGAGGGGGAGACAGUGCAGGCGGGGAAGGGGCAGAGAGAGAGGGAGACAGGCUCCAGGCUCCGAGCUGUCAGCACGGAGCUUGACGUGGGGCUUGUACUCACGAGCCGUGAGAUCGGGACCCGAACUCAAGAGUCAGAUGCUUAACCGACUGAGCCACCCUGGCGCCCCAAGAUUCUUUGAUUUCUAAAAAUGACUGGAUACUCAAUACUGUCAUUGAGUACAUAUGAUGAUGGCAUUUUUAGCUUACAUUUGAUCUUGCUUUAUGCCUCCAUUUAUACUAUCAGAGUUCGCAUUUAGAAAUGACACAGUAGUCUAGGAAUGUGAAUUAUUGAGGCGCCUGGGUGGCUCAGUCGGUUAAGCGUGCGACUUCGGCUCAGGUCAUGAUCUCACAGUUCAUGGGUUCGAGCCCCAUGUGGAAUUCUGCGCUGACAGUGAGGAACCUGCUUGGGAUUCUCUGUCUCUCUCCCUCUGUCUCUCCGCCCCUACCCUACUCUCUCAAAAAAUACAAUAGAAUAGAAAAGGAAUGUGAAUUAUGAGGGAAUUUCUUCUAGUCUCAGACCCAGUGCACACAUAAGGUCUAGGCCUUCAAUUUGAUUUGCAAAUUGGACUCUGAGGGGUUGGGGUGGGCAGGGGUGACUUUUCUGGAGGCCCUGUGUGGCUCUGAACCUACAGACCUUCCAAGCAGUAAGCCCUCUGUCAACUUCUGCUUGCAAGUGCUGUUGUGGUCUUGGGGAUGUUUGCAACGGCUGAGGGUUCUGGCAAAAGCUAAGUUUCUGGACAGUCCCACAGAAGAUACUCUAAUAUCCCCAAGCGUGUGUGGGGUUCCUUCCAGGGAGGACAGUGAGGUGCAAAUACGAGUUAUUACAGAGUACUUCUGUACCAGAAUUAAUUAAUCCUCCAUUGCUUUACAAGCUUAAGGAAGCGUUUUGUAUAGUUUUUAUUAAAAAAAAAAAAAAUCAUGCUCAUGCCAGAAGUACCUAAAAAGCUUGAACAGCCAGACCUCAUUUAACAAGUCACAAUCCAAGGUCACAAAUACAGUGUUGAGUGAAAGAAGCCAGGCACAGAGGAACACCUACUGCAGGAUCCCUGUUUUGAAAAACAGGCAGAAUUGAAGCAACACUUUUGGGGGCCCAUGCUGAAGGAAAGCCCUGUAAAGACAAGUAAGGAAGUGAUUCUGUUAUCUAUCCUCCACCAGGUGGUGCCGACGGGGUUAUUUGCCCCGUGCCAAUUCACUGAGCUGUACACUUCGACUUUGUGUGCUUUUCUGUAUAGAUGUGAUUCUUCACAAUACAAAUAGCCUUAACAACGCUAACCCAGUGAAAAAUGUCUCUUACUAACUUAGCAUAUAGAGACUUCCAGUUGUGUUUAUAUGCACGGUGACGUGCACGGUACUCUUUCGUAAGUUCCCGUUUGGGCUCGAUCCAUGGUCAACAUCUUCCUUUUGGUUAUGUUUGAAUGGGAACAAGAACGGAUGUAAUCUUGAAGACUAAGCCUGUGAAAUGUUAGAAAGGAGGUGGAGGAACUGGAGCCUUCAUGCAUUGCUGGUGGGAAGGCAGAAUGGUAUAGCCACUUGGGGAAACGGUUGGGCGCUUUCUGAAAAGUUCAACAUCUACGUAUCGUACACCCCACUCGUCCCACUCCGAGGGACCUACACGAGAGAAACGGGAAAGUAGGCCUGUACAAAGUGUUACAUAGAAAUGUUUAGAGCAGCCCCAUAAUAGCCCAAACUUGGAGCCAACCCAAAUGUCCAAAACCGAUGGAAGAAUAAACAUUUGUCCAAUUGAA